rnacentral:lncRNA from 1 species
UCAAAUACUAGGUUUUCCUCUUGCUUGACUGUGUGACCUUAGUAAACUAACGCUUCUGUGCUACUGUUUCUCUCUGUCUUAGAUAAUGACAACAUGAGAGAGUCAGUAUCCAGUAAGCUGUGUAGUUACUGUUGGUGGUGGUGUUACUAAAACAAAGGAAAAGUUACUGUGUGCCUGCUUCAGAUAGGAAACCCAGGCAAUGCCUGCCAUAGCAGCUAACACCAUAUGCUCUCCCUGGGCCUGGGGGAACAGCAGAUGAGUCACUAGGUUGGGCCCUACUCAGGGCCUGCUGCUCAGAGUCCCCAUGCACCUGACUGCAUGGUUUGCCAUCUGAUGAUAAUGGAGGCCAUCUUCCUUACCUUGGUCUGUGUCUUGCAUAGUCAUUAUUCAUACCAGUAGUUCAGAAUGUGGCUAGCUUUGGAGAGGCAGACUGCAAAGUCAAGGGGAGUUGGAAGAAAAGGAGACCUUGGCAACAAAAGAGAUCACUGAGUGGACGUCUUCACAGCAGAAAAGCUGCUCAGGGCAAAGGUUCGAUUGAAACACUCAGGAGGCUGAGGGAGUGGAAGCCAGAGUUCCAGGCCACUCUGGGCUGCAUGACAAGAUGAGGGGUGGGGGUAGGGGCAAGAAAACAAAUUCCUGUACUGUUUAAUUUAUACAGUAUGUAAAAACCUUUUUUUUUUUUUUUACAUUAUUACCAUUGGUGUGUCUGUGUGAGUGUGCUUGUGUGUGUGUGUGCACACGUGGAGGUCAGAGGACAACUUCCAGGGAUUGGUCUUUCCUCCUAUCAUGUAUGUGUGUUCCAGGGAUGGAACUCAGGCUGGCAGGCUUGGUAGCAUUGGUAGCAGGCCCCUUUAUGCUCUAAACCAUUUUACCAGCCCCUGAAGCCUUUCCCCCAUCUUCAACAGUCUCAUUGACAAAACGGGAAAAGCAGAUUCCUACGAUGCUGUUGUUAAGCUGAUCAUGUGGGAUACAGCGUCUGGGGAGGAUUCUCAUGAAGGACAACAAAGGCGGGGUGGGGGUGAGGGAUACUCAGAUGGUCAGUUCUCUCCCUCACAGCUUCUCUCUGGGCCAGCCCAAAGAGCGACUAAGCUUACCGGAAGUGGUGGAGUGUGACGGUUCCUCGAUGAAACCUCCGUUUCCAAGUGUUCCACUCUGUGCUGGGGACACGGGAUUGUGGGGGUUGCAUUACUGCUGGAUGGUUGAGCCACUGCGAACCUUCUUUUGAUCUCUGAAUGCUUGCAACAUUUUGAUCAGAAGUUUCAGCUUUGAAUGAAAGGGAUGUGGUGCAAUCUGGGAAGGAAAUACACGGAGAACCCACAGAACAGAAGAGCCUGGACACAGUGCAGUGCAGCAGGAUGUAUUUCUGCCCACUCCUCCACUAAAGUGCCCCUGCUUCGUCGCCCCUGGCUUUAGCAAGAUGUGACGGUAACUCUGGUGUUCUGAUUUAUCAACAUUUUGGCUUGAGCGUGAAUGAAAGGACAUUUCCGCUGCAGCAGAGUAACAAGUUGGGCAGCAGCUAGGAAAGUGUUUGCAUUUGGACAGGUUAAGUGUGUCCUCCUGUGAGACUUUGUUCCUGCCCACUCCCCAUCUCACCUUCCUCCUCUCAGACUCCUCCCCCUAAGAUGGUAGCUUGUCCUCCCACACUCUCAGGGAUCUAACAGCUUCUAGGAUGCACUUGCUGUUUCUCAAGAGGUGUCUGGAGACUGAAAGAAGAAGUUUCAAGACUCAUCUGUAGUCCCAGAGCUUAAAGAUGGCGGCAAUAAGACCAGAAAUUCUUGGUCAUUCUUGGCUGCAUGCCAAAUUCAAGGCUAGCCUGGGCUACCAGAGACCCUUGUUUCAGAAAAAAAAAAAAAUCCAGAAUGGAUUUCUUGGCGAUAGUUUCAGAUCACUGGGGCAGGUCUUACAAGGCAGGGAACCUUCCCAAUGUUUCCAGCGGUUUCUGUAUCUGAUUGAGGAGCAUAGAGUCGACUAAUGGCUAUAGAUGGGCAGAAAUAAAGCUGCCCUUCCAGAGCAAUGAGAAGGUACGCCCUACAGUCUAUUCUGAGUUUGUAAUUUUUAAAGGGUAAGUGACCCUAUUGUUUUAUGAUGACACUGACUAUGAAGGUGAAAGCUGAGUUACAAAGGGGAACAGAAAGGGGGCACAGAUUCAAACAAUGUGUGGCACUUAGACAUGCCAAUGCUGUAAUGUAGCCUACGGUUAGCUCACAAAACCACCAGAGUGUGGAGUAAACGCAAAAAGAAAGACUUGAUGAAACCUUAAUAGAAUUUGCACCAUUCUCUGGCCUCGAUGACACACAAUGUUGUUGAACAUAUUUGUUCACAGCCUCCGGGACUGGCUCCCAUCUGAUCACAAACUAUUGGGCAAGCUUUGGGAUGGCUGGGUAGGAGGGGAGUGGCCCCUGUAGAGCAGUUUCCCCUGUUCAGCCCUUCACUCUACCUAGGCUCUUUAAUUAGCAAUCCCGGAAGUCAGACCUGCCCUGGGGCUUACUCCAUGAGGAUUAUACUUCCCAACCCUCCUCCCCAUCAAUCUUUGGAUCCUCUCUCCUUCCAAGAGACAUGGACCAUACAAUGCACUGCUCAAAGUGCUGGAAAGACUUCCCCUCUCCUCUAAUGUAGGAGGCUCAGCACUCCACAUCUACAAGUGUUGACAGGAUCAUCUGGGAUCUAGACUCAGGUUCAACCUCAGCCUAUACACAAGGCAAACAUCUGAUAGGCAUUGCAGUGAGGGCCCUAUAAUUACAAUGGCAAAGAUAGUGGAAGCGACUGAAAUCUGCACACUUGGGGAGGGUUAAUAUGGUACACAGAAUGGAAUAAUGCACACACACACACACAAAUCCACCAUUUUAAGUAGUCUGAUGAAGUACUCAGGGAGAGGAAUAGAUUUGUUGCUCUAAGGUUAAUUGAAGGCAAGAUAGAAAAAAGCUCUCAUCUUUGAGAUAGGGAAUUGCAGGAUAUCAGCUUUCUUCCUUCUGCUUAGUUAACUGUUUUGCCUGUAGACCGUGAAUGUGUUUUAGUUGUGCAAUAUGUCAUUAAAACACAGCCUUUUGGCAGGAAAACAACCUUUCUCUCAAGUGAGUGUAGAGUAUUUCUUCCAGAGAGUUCGGAGGCCAGUGGCUUGAGUUCAUAGCUUUUGUUUCCACCAGAUAGUAUAUUUGGGGGUGGGGGGUGGGGGGGAGGUGCGGGCGAGCAUUUUCCACAGAAAGGUGCUUAGAGUUCUUUUUGACAAGAUGCAAAACAUGCAAAGGUGCCUUUCAAGGUUUUAGCCAACUUCAGUUAAUUCUUAAUAAAAUGCUUAAUUCUAGUUAGAUAAAAUUUUGUUUCAUUACAGUAGAUCUAAAUCUUCAGGUGAUAUAUAUUUCUCAAAUUGAUUGGUGUGGUAUGUUUACAUAUAUUUUACUAAGGUUUAGAAAAUAGGGCCAGGCCAGAAGAUGGAAAGAUUUCCCAUGUUCAUGGAUCAGUAGAACUAACAUAGUGAAAAUGGCUAUCCUACCAAAAGCAAUCUAUAGAUUCAAAACAAUCUCCAUCAGAGUUUUAACACUUUUUUUUUUUAUACAGGAAUUGAAAGAACAAUUCUCAGCUUAACAGGGAAAGACAAAAAAACUCAGGCUAGCUAAAGCAAUCCUGAACAAUAAAGGAACUGCUGGAAGUCCCACCAGAGUUGAUUUCAAGAUGUCCUACAGAGCUAUAGGAAUAAAAACCACAUGGUACUGACAUAAAAACAGACACAUUCAUCAAUGCAAUAAAACUGAAGCCCCAGACACAAAUCCACACUUAUGGACAUCUGAUUUUUGAUAAAGAAGCCAGGGAUAUAGAGUGGGAAAGGAAAGCUGCUUCAUCAAAUGGUGCUAGUCAAUACGCUAGUUGGGAUGUAGAGGAAUGUAAAGAACCAUAUCAAUCACCCUGCACAAAACUCAAGUCCAAGUGGAUCAAAGAUGUCAACUUAAAAUCAAACAGAAUGAACCUGAGAGAAGAGAGAGUGGGGAACUGCUUUGAACUUAUUGGUACAGGAGGCAAGUUUCUGAACAGAACACCAACAGCACAGGCACUAAGAUCAACAAUUAAUAAAUGGGACUUUAUGAAACAGAAUCAACUUUUGUAAGACAAGGGACACCAUGAAUUGGACAAAGCAACAGACUUCAGAAUGGGAAAAGAGUUUUCCAACUUCACACCCAAUAGAGGACUAGUAUCCAAAAUAUAUAAAGAACUCAAGAAACUACAUAUUUUAAAAAGACCACACAAUUUAAAAAUGGGGAGCAUAUUUAAACAGAAUUCACAACAAAGGAAUUUCAAAUGGCCGAGAAACAAAGAAAUUGUCAACAUCCAUAGCCAUCAGGGAAAUGCAAAUAAAAACGACUUGGAGAUUUCAUCUUACACCUGUCAGAAUGACCAAGAUCAAUAACGCGAGUGACAGCUCCUGCUGGUGAGGAUGGGGGCAAGAAGAACACUCUUCCAUGCUGGUGGGAGUGCAAGCUUGUAAAGCCACUAUGGAAAUCAAUAUGUUUUUUUCUCAGAAAGUUGGGAAUCAAUCUGUUUCAAGAUUAGUUAUACCACCCUUGGGCAUAUACCCAAAGGAUGCUCCAUCUCGCUGCAAGGACACUUGCUCAACAAUGUUCAUUGUGGUUUACUUCAAAAGAGCCAGGAACUGGAAUAACCUAGAUGUUCCUCAACAGAAGAACAGACAACAAAAAUAGUGAUACAUUUACCCAACUGAGUAUAACCCAGUGGUAAAACAAAACAAAACCCAAAACCAAAAAAUGGCCUUUUUGGAUGGAGAAGCAGGAGUGAAGCAUAUCAGUGGUAAAACAAAACAAACCCAAAACCAAAAAAUGGCCUUUUUGGAUGGAGAAGCAGGAGUGAAGCAUAUAAGAUGUAGGCCAUGGGGGCUGUUCAGAGAUUGUGUUAUCUGUUCACUCUAAAACAAACCCAACAACAACAACAAAUGGAAUCAUGACAUUUGCAGGUAAAUGGAUGGAAUUAGGAAAAAAAUUCUGAAGUGAGAACCCUUGAUCUUCAAAAGGCAAUAUGGUGUGUACUCAGAGUGGAUAUUAUCUGUUAAGUAAUAAGCUACAGUCCAUAGACCCAAAGAAGAGGGCACUGGGGGGCGGCAGGGAUCCCCUGGGAGGGAGAAAUAGGAUAAAUUUUAUGGGCACUGUGGGGAAGGUGGGGAUGGGAGCAGGGGAUCAGGUGACAGGGAUGUGGGGGGAGGGAGAGAGAGUGAGGAGAGAUGGUGAAAUUAAUCAUUGCAGGGCGGGGGAAUGAAGGAGGACCUCGUACAGUGGAGAGUUCCUAGACUAUGAAGGUGAGCUUAACGAAGACUCCUGGUAAUGGGGAAUAUAGAGUUCAGCUGGCCAUCUCUUGUUGCCAGGUGAGGCAUCCAGUGUCAGGACUAGGUUGCAUUCAAUUGAGUUGUUGGCUAAGUGGGUCCCACGGAGAUCCCCUAAUAACCCAGGCUGUUGCAGAGACAAAGGGGUGGUCUCUGAAAACUGUCUGUGGAAACCCCAUUGCUGAGGACAAUCCCACACAAAUCAGUGAUCAUGGAGAAGCCAAGUUAGUGCCUGUGUGGAGCCCUCACCCCAACAUUACAGUUUCUUCGGUGUGGAAGGGACUCUGCAGACUGCUGAAAGAAAUGUGGACACCAAUCCAGCCACGAAACCUUUGACCCACAAUCUGUCCUGUUUGCAUAAUGUGUUAGGGCAAUAGUGGCAUAGAACAGGUUAUAGCAGCCUGAUUUGACCCAAGGCCUACUCCAUGAGAGGGACCCCACACCCGACAAUGCUUAGGUAAUCAAGAACCAGAGACUAGAUCGCCCAGAGACCUAAAGUAAAACCCAACACCUUGCUUGCUGAAUUAAAAAAAUAAAUAAAAUGAUUCUAUAGGUAUCCUGCUAUACUCAUUGAUUAAUAACCUUAUCCAGUCAUCAUCAGAGAGGCUUCCUCCAACAGCAGAUGGGAACAGAUGCAGAGACCCACAGCCAGAUAUUAUGCGGAAAGUGAGUCUAAAUGGAAGGUCUCCAUCAAAUCCCUGCUUUUUGAGCUCGGGGAAUCUCCGGGAAGAAGAGGCAGAAAGAAGGUGUGGAGGACACCCAGAGAAGGAGGAGCAUAUAAGCUCACAGAGACUGAAGCAUCAAGCGUAGGGCCUAACAUGGGUCCCCAUGGGUCCUCUGCAUUUAUAUUAUAGCUAUUAGCUUUGUAUUUCUGUGGGACUCCUGACUGUGGGAAGGAGUGGAUCUCUGACUCUAGUGCCUGCUCUUGGGACUCCUCCUGUCGAGUUGCCAUGUCCAACUUUGACAUGAUAGUUUUUGCUUCACCUUAAUAUAUUUGAUUUUGCCAUGUUCGGUUGUUAUCUCUUAGAAGCCUGUUCUUUUCUAAUGAGAGACAGAAA